AAGACCAUAGUUUCAAGGAUCAUUCCUACAGUUUGUUACUAGAGAAAUUCUCUGAAUAUGUGGUGCACUGGAAAUUACCAGGAGGAGGCAUGGCACUCUCUCCUGAGCACGAAGCUGGUUCUUGUUGCUUCUGCAAAUGACAUUCACCCUUGAUAUUGGUUGGUUCUUCUCUUCCUUUGAAAGAAUAAGAGGGAGAAGAUGCAGACUAAGUGAG